rnacentral:rRNA from 1 species
AUACGAAGGUCCCAAGCGUUGUUCGGAUUUACUGGGCGUCAAGCGUGCGUAGGCGGCGAGGUAAGUCAGAUGUGAAAUCCCGGGGCUCAACCCCGGAACUGCAUCCGAUACUGCCCUGCUAGAGUAAUGGAGGGGCAUCUGGAAUUCAUGGUGUAGCAGUGAAAUGCGUAGAUAUCAUGAGGAACACUAGUGGCGAAGGCGAGAUGCUGGACAUUUACUGACGCUGAGGUACGAAGGCCAGGGUAGCGAAAAGGAUUAGAAACCCUAGUAGUCC